GCUUUUGUCAUCUUUCGUUUGAGAUUUCACAUUUUAUCUUCAACAAUAAACUAUUUCUAGGUGUUCUGACGGGAUUUGGAUUAUUUUACCUACAAAACUUCUUUUCCAUAUUUCUUCCCUUUGAUUAGCAUUUUUUUUUUCUUUUUCAAGUUUAGGGUGUAUGUCCUCCAUUGUAGGGUGUAAUCGGCUUUCAGCAUCAACAAAUCUCAAAGGUCAUCAGGUUAAACAAAGUAUAAAGACAAGGGUAAAUACUCAUGGAAAUGCCUUCUUUCUCCUGUCAUAGUUAUUAACUUCCAACCUAACUGUAUGAAUCCAUGAGCUUUAAUUCAGUAAAAUUUUAAUUUUAAUUUAACUACACAUAUUCUAAAAA